rnacentral:tRNA from 3 species
CGGGGCGUAGCGCAGCCUGGUAGCGCACCACAAUGGGGUUGUGGGGGUCGAAGGUUCAAAUCCUUCCGUCCCGACCA